rnacentral:misc_RNA from 1 species
AACCUUAUGGACCUGCGGGCGUAUACCUGCGGAGGGAUCAUUACUGAGUACUGGGUUCUUUUAUAGGCCCACACUCCCACCCUUUGUGUAUUAACUUACUUAUUUUACUUGUUGCUUUGGCGGGUUUGAUCUCCACUUCACCUUUCUGGCUAGUGGUAGGGGCGCCCGCCAAAGUAUACAACCAACUAAACUCGUUAUAACCGCGUAAUGUCUGAGUAAAAAACAAAAAAUUAAAACUUU